GUCUGCAGCUGUACCACCUGCAGUUCAGGCUGGGUUAUCACACCUGUAGCUAAGCGGGUUUGGACCUGGCCAAUCCCUGGGUGGGAGACCAACUUAGAAAGCUGGGUUGCUGCUGGGA
rnacentral:rRNA from 1 species